rnacentral:tmRNA from 1 species
GGGGCUGCAUAGGUUUCGACAGAAAUAUGACUUUUCUAGAUUGCAAGUCGAAGGCACGCGUCAAGUGCAAACAAAAAUAACUGGAAACAGAAAUCAAUUAGCUUUCGCUUAAUUUAAAAGGAAGCUGCUUCUUAUUUACUUUUGCCAACGAAGUUUAUAAGAGGCUCGAUUUAGUUGGCUAUAUCAUAAUUAAGCCUGGUGAUUAUGAUGAAUAUUACAGGCUAACUAAUAACUAGUUUGUCAAUUAAUUGGUUGUUAGCAAGAAACUAAUUGACUAAACUUGUAGUAGUCUAUUAGGGUGUAUUUUUGGACAGGAGUUCAAUUCUCCUCAGCUCCACCA